UACGUAGGUGGCAAGCGUUAUCCGGAUUUAUUGGGUUUAAAGGGUGCGUAGGCGGACUGUUAAGUCAGCGGUAAAAGCCCGGGGCUCAACCCCGGCGAGCCGUUGAAACUGGCUGGCUUGAGUUGGGGAAAGGCAGGCGGAAUGCGCGGUGUAGCGGUGAAAUGCAUAGAUAUCGCGCAGAACCCCGAUUGCGAAGGCAGCCUGCCGGCCCCACACUGACGCUGAGGCACGAAAGCGUGGGUAUCGAACAGG
rnacentral:rRNA from 1 species